rnacentral:rRNA from 1 species
AUUGAACGCUGGCGGCAUGCCUUACACAUGCAAGUCGAACGGUAGAGGGGCAACCCUCGAGAGUGGCGAACGGGUGAGUAAUGCAUCGGAACGUACCCAGUUGUGGGGGAUAGCUCGGCGAAAGCCGGAUUAAUACCGCAUACGCACUGAGGUGGAAAGCGGGGGACUCGCAAGGGCCUCGCGCAGUUGGAGCGGCCGAUGUCAGAUUAGCUAGUUGGUGGGGUAAAGGCCUACCAAGGCGACGAUCUGUAGCUGGUCUGAGAGGAUGACCAGCCACACUGGGACUGAGACACGGCCCAGACUCCUACGGGAGGCAGCAGUGGGGAAUUUUGGACAAUGGGCGCAAGCCUGAUCCAGCCAUGCCGCGUGCAGGAAGAAGGCCUCGGUUGUAAC